CACGUAGUUAGCCGUGGCUUAUUCAAGGGGUACCGUCUUCUGCUCUUCCCCCUUAAAAGAAGUUUACAACCCGAAAGCCUUCUUCCCUCACGCGGCGUUGCUGGGUCAGACUUGCGUCCAUUGCCCAAUAUUCCCCACUGCUGCCUCCCGUAGGAGUCUGGGCCGUAUCUCAGUCCCAAUGUGGCCGGCCAACCUCUCAGUCCGGCUACUGAUCGUCGCCUUGGUCGGGCCGUUACCCCACAACUAGCUAAUCAGACGCGAGGCCAUCUUUCGGCGAUAAAUCUUUGACAUCAGAGCCAUGCGACCCCAAUGUAUCAUGCGGUAUUAGCAGUCGUUUCAACUGUUCGUCCCCCUCGAAAGGCAGGUUCCUCACGCGUUACUCACCAGUCCGCCACUAAGCAUUUCCCUUCCGUUCGUCCGAAAACCUUCCUUCGAGGGGUGCUCCGUUCGACUUGCAUCGUGUUAAGCACGCCGUCCAGCGUUCGUCCUUGACGU
rnacentral:rRNA from 1 species